GAGGUGGCCAGCAGGGCGAAGGAGGAGACUGUCCACCUCUACUCUGCUGUUGUGAGGCUCCAUCUGGAGUACUGCAUCUGUGCGUGGGGCCCCCAGCACAAGAAGGAUGCGGAGCUAUUUGACAGUGUCUAGAGGAGGCUGCAAAUUUAUUCAGAGGGCUGUAUAUGAAGUGUUAAAGCAUUCUAUCACAUACUCAGGAUCAGAUGUGUGAGAAAAGGAGAAACGG
rnacentral:lncRNA from 1 species